UACGUAGGUGGCGAGCGUUAUCCGGAAUUAUUGGGCGUAAAGAGCGCGCAGGUGGUUGAUUAAGUCUGAUGUGAAAGCCCACGGCUUAACCGUGGAGGGUCAUUGGAAACUGGUCGACUUGAGUGCAGAAGAGGGAAGUGGAAUUCCAUGUGUAGCGGUGAGAUGCGUAGAGAUAUGGAGGAACACCAGUGGCGAAGGCGGCUUCCUGGUCUGUAACUGACACUGAGGCGCGAAAGCGUGGGGAGCAAACAGGAUUAGAUA
rnacentral:rRNA from 1 species